rnacentral:tRNA from 1 species
GAUCCUGUAGCUCACUUGGAUAGAGCGGCCGCCUCCUAAGCGGCAGGUAGUGCGUUCGAAUCGCAUCUGGAUCA